AGUUUGAUCAUGGCUCAGACGAACGCUGGCGGGAUGCUUUACACAUGCAAGUCGAACGGCAGCACGGACUUCGAUCUGGUGGCGAGUGGCGAACGGGUGAUGUAUGUAUCAAAGGAACGUGCCUAGUAGCGGGGGAUAACUACGCGAAAGCGUAGCUAAUACCGCAUACGCCCUUCGGGGAAAAGCAGGGGGACCUUCCCAGACUCGCGCUAGCCCGACAGCCGAUAUCGGAUUAGCUAGUUGGUGGGGUAACGGCUCACCGACGACGAUCCGUAGCUGGUUUGAGAGGACGACCGGCCACACUGGGACUACAGACCACGGCCCAGACUCCUACGGGAGGCAGCAGUGGGGAAUUUUUGGACAAUGGAAACCCUGAUCCAGCCAUCCCGCGUGUGCGAUGAAGGCCUUCGGGUUGUAAAGCACUUUUGGCGGAAAGAAACGGCGAUAAUACGUGCAACUGACGGUACCUGCAGAAUAAAGCACCGGCUAACUACGUGUAAGCAGCCGCGGCAAUACGUGAGGGUGCAAGCGUUAAUCGGAAUUACUGGGCGUAAAGCGUGCGCAGGCGGUUCGGAAGAAAGAUGUGAAAUCCCAGAGCUUAACUUUGGAACUGCAUUUUUAACUACCGAGCUAGAGUCAUGUCGAGAGGUGGAAUUCCGCGUGUAGCAGUGAAUGCGUAGAUAUGCGGAGGAACACCGAUGGCGAAGGCAGCCUCCUGGGAUAACACUGACGCUCAUGCACGAAAGCGUGGGGAGCAAACGGGAUUAGAUACCUGGUAGUCCACGCCCUAAACGAUAUCAACUAGCUGUUGGGGCCUUCGGGCCUUGGUAACAUACGCGUGAGAGUUGGCCGCCUGGGGGAAGUACGGUCGCAAGAUUAAAACUCAAAGGGUGACUGGGGACCCGCACAAGCGGUGGAUGAUGUGGAUUAAUUCGAUGCAACGCGAAAAACCUUACCUACCCUUGACUGUCUGGAAUCCCGAAGAGAUUUAGGAAUUGCUCGCAGAAGAUUGCGGAACACAGGUGCUGGCAUGGCUGUCGUCAGCUCGUGUCGUGAGAUGUUGGGUUGAGUCCGCAGCAAACGCAACCAUGUCGUGGAUUGCUACGAAAGAGGGCGCUCUAAUAGGACUGCGGUGACAAACCGGAGGAAGGUGGGGAUGACGUCAAGUCCUCAUGGCCCUUAUGGGUAGGGCUUCACGUCAUACAAUGGUCGGGACAGAGGGGUCGCCAACCCGCGAGGGCCAAUCCCAGAAGCCCGGUCGUGAAGUCCGGAUCGCAGUCUGCAACUCGACGUGAAGUCGGAAUCGCUAGUAAUCGCGGAUCAGCAUGUCGCGGUGAAUACGUUCCCGGGUCUUGUACACACCGCCCGUCACACCAUGGGAGUGGGUUUUACCAGAAGUAGUUAGCCUAACCGUAAGGAGGGCGAUUACCACGGUAGGAUUCAUGACUGGGGUGAAGUCAUAACAAGAGUAAA
rnacentral:rRNA from 1 species